rnacentral:lncRNA from 1 species
AUAUGGAACAAAAAAUUCAGAAUACUACAAUAAGAGGUAUAACACUCCAAUUUUAUUUCUUUAUUUAACCAGUGUGAAAAGAGUUAUUUUCCUAGUGUAAAUAAGCAACAGAUGCCACAUGUAGUAAUAUUAUAAUACUAUAUAACUAAUAGAUUGUGAUUGGAACACCUGUCUUUCUGACACCAUAGGCCAUGUUCCUGAUACUCCGUUCUCAUGCUGAGUAUGCAUGGCUUCAUUGUGGAGAUUAAACUCAGAAAACUUCCAGGUUUGAUUCCUCAUAGUAUGCUAAUUUUAAUAUAUUCUGAAUCUUACAUGAUGAUGAUAAUGAUUUCUUUAAUUGGUAUUAUAGUAUGCAUUUCUAAAUAUGGCCUAUCAAUUAUUUUCUCACUCGCUAGUGAUUUAAGCAAGUAUUUAUAUCCCCAUUUUUGUUUUGAAGCUGAGUGAGAAGUAGACAAUUUCCAUGGUCACCCAGUUAGUGAGGGUGCAAGCCAAGAUUAUAAACUGGAUCUCCUUUCUUUUAUUUCAGAAACUCUUUCAAUCCUUUGUUUUUAUUUCUUUUCUUUUGCCAAGCAUAGGCAAUGCUGAGGAGGAGAGUGAAACCCUAAGUAUCCAUAUAGAAGAAUUCUUUACUGGUCCUGUUGGAAAAAGCCAAGUGAAAUGGCCUGGAGUGGAGCCGUACGUCUUGGAGAGCACAUCGACGUAG